UACGAAGGGGGCUAGCGUUGUUCGGAAUUACUGGGCGUAAAGCGUGCGCAGGCGGCCAUUUAAGUCAGGGGUGAAAGCCUGGGGCUCAACCCCAGAACUGCCCUUGAGACUGGAUGGCUGGAGUGCGGGAGAGGUGAGUGGAAUUCCCAGUGUAGAGGUGAAAUUCGUAGAUAUUGGGAAGAACACCCGUGGCGAAGGUGGCUCACGGGCCCGUAACUGACGCUCAGGCACGAUAGCGUGGGGAGCAAACAGG
rnacentral:rRNA from 1 species